rnacentral:rRNA from 1 species
AAUGAACGCUGGCGGCAUGCCUAACACAUGCAAGUCGAACGGCAGCACAGUAAGAGCUUGCUCUUGCGGGUGGCGAGUGGCGGACGGGUGAGGAAUGCAUCGGAAACCUCUUUUUCGGGGGUGAUAACGGAGGGAAACUUAUGCUAAUACAGCAUACGUCCUACGGGUUAGAGCAGGGGUUCUUCGGGCCUUUCGCGACUGUAAGAGCCGAUGUCGGCUUAGAUUGUUUGCUGGGUAAAGGCCCAGCUAGGCAACGAUCCGUAGCAGGUCUGACGGGGAGAUCAGCCAACCUGGAACUGAGACAGGGUCCCGACUCCUAAGGGAGGCCGCAGUAGGGAAUCUUCCGCAAUGGGCGAAAGGCUGAUACAGCAAAACCGGGGGAGUGAUGAAGGACCUCGGAUUGGAAAGCCCUGUUGGUCGGAAAGAAAAAAAGCUCGUUUAACCGCGCACAUUUUGACGGUACCUAAAGAAUAAGCCACGGCUAACUUCGUG